AUUGCCCCAGUAACGGCGAAGUGAAGCGGCAAGAGCUCAAAUUUGAAAGCUGGCCCCUUCGGGGUCCGCAUUGUAAUUUGCAGAGGAUGCUUCGGGAGUGGCCCCCAUCUAAGUGCUCUGGAACGGGCCGUCAUAGAGGGUGAGAAUCCCGUAUGGGAUGGGGUGUCCGCGACCAUGUGAAGCUCCUUCGACGAGUCGAGUUGUUUGGGAAUGCAGCUCUAAAUGGGUGGUAAAUUUCAUCUAAAGCUAAAUAUUGGCCGGAGACCGAUAGCGCACAAGUAGAGUGAUCGAAAGAUGAAAAGCACUUUGAAAAGAGAGUUAAAAAGCACGUGAAAUUGUUGAAAGGGAAGCGCUUGCGACCAGACUCGCCUGCGGGGUUCAGCCGGUAUUCGUACCGGUGUACUUCCCCGUGGGCGGGCCAGCGUCGGUUUGGGCGGCCGGUCAAAGGCCCUCGGAAUGUAACGCCUCUCGGGGCGUCUUAUAGCCGAGGGUGCCAUGCGGCCAGCCCGGACCGAGGAACGCGCUUCGGCACGGACGCUGGCAUAAUGGUCGUAAGCGACCCGUCUUGAAACACGGACCAAGGAGUCUAACAUCUACGCGAGUGUUCGGGUGUCAAACCCGUGCGCGCAGUGAAAGCGAACGGAGGUGGGAACCCUCACGGGUGCACCAUCGACCGAUCCUGAAGUCUUCGGAUGGAUUUGAGUAAGAGCGUAGCUGUUGGGACCCGAAAGAUGGUGAACUAUGCCUGAAUAGGGCGAAGCCAGAGGAAACUCUGGUGGAGGCUCGCAGCGGUUCUGACGUGCAAAUCGAUCGUCAAAUUUGGGUAUAGGGGCGAAAGACUAAUCGAACCAUCU
rnacentral:rRNA from 1 species